rnacentral:rRNA from 1 species
UGGGGAAUAUUGGUCAAUGGGGGAAACCCUGAACCAGCGACGCCGCGUGAGGGAAGACGGUUUUCGGAUUGUAAACCUCUGUCUUUUGGGAAGAGAACGGACUGUACCAAAAGAGGAAGCCACGGCUAACUACGUGCCAGCAGCCGCGGUAAUACGUAGGUGGCAAGCGUUGUCCGGAAUUACUGGGUGUAAAGGGAGCGUAGGCGGGAAAGAAAGUCAGAUGUGAAAUGACAGGGCUCAACCCUGGACCUGCAUUUGAAACUUCUUUUCUUGAGUGAAGUAGAGGCAAGCGGAAUUCCGUGUGUAGCGGUGAAAUGCGCAGAUAUACGGAGGAACACCAGUGGCGAAGGCGGCUUGCUGGGCUUUUACUGACGCUGAGGCUCGAAAGCGUGGGUAGCAAACA